UCGAACCGGGAGCGUGUGAGGGGGACCCGGCGGCUUCCCCGACUCUCGGUGUCACAGCACGGGUUAACCCAGGGAGGCAUCUGGUGCCGCCUCCCUGCUGCAGCCGGGCCGUCCCCGAGCACAGGACACAAGAUUCUGUCAGCAGGGUCUGGGAUAUCCGCAGUGAGGGAGACUCCGCAGCCCGUGUGGACAAUCUGUUGCUGGGCACGGCGUUGCUGAGCCGCCUCUCCUCUCUGUGCCCCGUGCAGGCGAGAUCCCGGCGCACUUGGGCGGCCCCGCGGAGUUCGGGGAUAACGUGGAGGAUGAGUGGUUCAUUGUGUAGCUGCUGCGGGAGAUGAGCAGGGAGUUGCCGGGGCUGGCAGCCAGGUGACUUUCACUCGGUGUUUGUAUGCACAGCUGGUGCAGCAGCAGUUUGUUCCAGACAGACGCAGUGGAUACACCCUGCCCGCCCCAGCUCAUCCUCAGUACAGAGCCUGCGAGCUGGGCAUGAAGCUGGGAAUGAUUCCUGGGGCAUUUUGGCCUUGGCUCAUGCAUGUGCAGGGAAUGGGUCCUUGUCUGGAGGUUGCCUGCUUGUCCAGAGAAAUGUGAGCAAAGUCUGUCCCACCUUGAGAACCUCUUGUUGUUGCAUCUUUUGUCUGCAGGCUCAUGGCUUUGAAAUGUUGUGCUCCAAGAGCAGUAAAGUGGCUCCUGAUGCCAAGAGAAACGUGUUAAGGGGUCCUCUGUGGGAGAGAUUCCUCAGGAGCUUGAAGGGGGAGGAUUAUUUCAAGGGAGAAAUGGAAGGAUCAGCCAAGUACCUGGAGCUGUUGCACAUGGCAGAAGAUCACUUCCAGCAAUCUGUUGCAGUGCCAGAAAGGUGAGAGCUGCUUGAAAUUCAUGAGUGUCAUAUACCCUACAAAUCCUGUA